rnacentral:rRNA from 1 species
CUUGCCAUCACCUGCCGGCGACCGGCGCACGGGUGAGUAACACGUAUGCAACCUGCCCGCCACAGGGGGAUAAGCGGAAGAAAUUCCGUCUAAUACCGCGUGACGCGGCGUCGGGGCAUCCCGGUGCCGCCAAAGGGAUUACCGGUGGCGGAUGGGCAUGCGGCGCAUUAGCUAGUCGGCGGGGUAACGGCCCACCGAGGCGACAAUGCGUAGGGGUUCUGAGAGGAAGGUCCCCCACACUGGUACUGAGACACGGACCAGACUCCUACGGGAGGCAGCAGUGAGGAAUAUUGGUCAAUGGGCGGGAGCCUGAACCAGCCAAGUCGCGUGAGGGAUGACGGUCCUACGGAUUGUAAACCUCUUUUGCCGGGGAGCAAGCGUGCGUUCGUGAACGCGCGUCGAGAGUACCCGGAGAAAAAGCAUCGGCUAACUCCGUGCCAGCAGCCGCGGUAAUACGGAGGAUGCGAGCGUUAUCCGGAUUUAUUGGGUUUAAAGGGUGCGUAGGCGGGAUGCCAAGUCAGCGGUAAAAAUGCGGUGCUCAACGCCGUCGAGCCGUUGAAACUGGCGUUCUUGAGUGGGCGAGAAGUAUGCGGAAUGCGUGGUGUAGCGGUGAAAUGCAUAGAUAUCACGCAGAACUCCGAUUGCGAAGGCAGCAUACCGGCGCCCUACUGACGCUGAGGCACGAAAGCGUGGGUAUCGAACAGGAUUAGAUACCCUGGUAGUCCACGCAGUAAACGAUGAAUGCUAACUGUCCGGUGCGAGUGAGCGCUGGGCGGUACAGCGAAAGCGUUAAGCAUUCCACCUGGGGAGUACGCCGGCAACGGUGAAACUCAAAGGAAUUGACGGGGGCCCGCACAAGCGGAGGAACAUGUGGUUUAAUUCGAUGAUACGCGAGGAACCUUACCCGGGCUCAAACGCAGGAUGACGGGUCCCGAAAGGGGCCUUUCUUCGGACAUUCUGCGAGGUGCUGCAUGGUUGUCGUCAGCUCGUGCCGUGAGGUGUCGGCUUAAGUGCCAUAACGAGCGCAACCCCUGUCCACAGUUGCCAGCAGGUAAAGCUGGGGACUCUGUGGAGACUGCCGGCGCAAGCUGCGAGGAAGGCGGGGAUGACGUCAAAUCAGCACGGCCCUUACGUCCGGGGCGACACACGUGUUACAAUGGCAGGUACAGCGGGAUGCCACGGGGCGACCCGGCGCUGAACCCGAAAACCUGUCUCAGUUCGGAUUGGAGUCUGCAACCCGACUCCAUGAAGCUGGAUUCGCUAGUAAUCGCGCAUCAGCCACGGCGCGGUGAAUACGUUCCCGGGCCUUGUACACACCGCCCGUCAAG